rnacentral:rRNA from 1 species
UACGUAGGGGGCAAGCGUUGUCCGGAUUUAUUGGGCGUAAAGAGCGUGUAGGCGGCCAUACAGGUCCGUUGUGAAAACUGGAGGCUUAACCUCCAGACGUCGAUGGAAACCGUCUGGCUAGAGUCCGGAAGAGGAGAGUGGAAUUCCUGGUGUAGCGGUGAAAUGCGCAGAUAUCAGGAAGAACACCCGUGGCGAAAGCGGCUCUCUGGGACGGUACUGACGCUGAGACGCGAAAGCGUGGGGAGCGAAACAGG